rnacentral:rRNA from 1 species
CUGCUUAGUCAAGCCGGAUGGUUAUUCACCACCGACAAUUCUUGGCAACUGACAGUGCUUUACAACCCGAAGGCCUUCAAUCACACACGCGGCGUCGCUCCGUCACGCUUGCGCGCAUUGCGGAAGAUUCUCG